rnacentral:rRNA from 1 species
ACGGGGGGUGCAAGCGUUGUUCGGAAUUAUUGGGCGUAAAGCGCGCGUAGGCGGUUUGUUAAGUCUGAUGUGAAAGCCCCGGGCUCAACCUGGGAAGUGCAUUGGAUACUGGCAGACUUGAGUCUGGUAGAGGGGGGUGGAAUUCCAGGUGUAGCGGUGAAAUGCGUAGAUAUCAGGAGGAACACCGGUGGCGAAGGCGGCUGCCUGGACGGAUACUGACGCUGAGGCGCGAAAGCGUGGGUAGCAAACAG